AACGAACGCUGGCGGCAUGCCUAACACAUGCAAGUCGAACGAAGCCUUCGGGCUUAGUGGCGCACGGGUGCGUAACGCGUGGGAAUCUGCCCUUGGGUUCGGAAUAACAGUUAGAAAUGACUGCUAAUACCGGAUGAUGUCUUCGGACCAAAGAUUUAUCGCCCAAGGAUGAGCCCGCGUAGGAUUAGGUAGUUGGUGGGGUAAAGGCCUACCAAGCCGACGAUCCUUAGCUGGUCUGAGAGGAUGAUCAGCCACACUGGGACUGAGACACGGCCCAGACUCCUACGGGAGGCAGCAGUGGGGAAUAUUGGACAAUGGGGGAAACCCUGAUCCAGCAAUGCCGCGUGAGUGAUGAAGGCCUUAGGGUCGUAAAGCUCUUUUACCAGGGAUGAUAAUGACAGUACCUGGAGAAUAAGCUCCGGCUAACUCCGUG
rnacentral:rRNA from 1 species